UCGAACGCACAGCGAAAGGUGCUUGCACCUUUCAAGUGAGUGGCGAACGGGUGAGUAACACGUGGACAACCUGCCUCAAGGCUGGGGAUAACAUUUGGAAACAGAUGCUAAUACCGAAUGAAACUUAGUGUCGCAUGACACGAAGUUAAAAGGCGCUUUGGCGUCACCUAGAGAUGGAUCCGCGGUGCAUUAGUUAGUUGGUGGGGUAAAGGCCUACCAAGACAAUGAUGCAUAGCCGAGUUGAGAGACUGAUCGGCCACAUUGGGACUGAGACACGGCCCAAACUCCUACGGGAGGCUGCAGUAGGGAAUCUUCCACAAUGGGCGAAAGCCUGAUGGAGCAACGCCGCGUGUGUGAUGAAGGCUUUCGGGUCGUAAAGCACUGUUGUAUGGGAAGAACAGCUAGAAUAGGGAAUGAUUUUAGUUUGACGGUACCAUACCAGAAAGGGACGGCUAAAUACGUGCCAGCAGCCGCAGUAAUACGUAUGUCCCGAGCGUUAUCCGGAUUUAUUGGGCGUAAAGCGAGCGCAGACGGUUGAUUAAGUCUGAUGUGAAAGCCCGGAGCUCAACUCCGGAAUGGCAUUGGAAACUGGUUAACUUGAGUGCAGUAGAGGUAAGUGGAACUCCAUGUGUAGCGGUGGAAUGCGUAGAUAUAUGGAAGAACACCAGUGGCGAAGGCGGCUUACUGGACUGUAACUGACGUUGAGGCUCGAAAGUGUGGGUAGCAAACAGGAUU
rnacentral:rRNA from 1 species